GAAACGGCAUUUUAAAACACAACAGAGACCAUUAUGUAAUUCAGGUACGCCUAGGGUUGCCUUAACGACAAAGGGUUUAGUUCAUUGCCAACACCCAUCUACACUAGAAAGGGAAUCCUCCCUUCAAUGUACCAAACCACUGAACCUGACACAGGUUGUAAACUGCUCAGUUGUUGGACAAUCAAAUUUGUAAAUGGUUGAAAUCGCUGUCCAGGGAAGGCUGGGUUGUCUCUUGGUUGAAAACUUAAAUAAGACCUUAAAGCGAAGCAGAGAAGGAU